ACCACUGCCCUAGAGUUUUUAAAUUGCAUGCCAAGAGUGUAUCAACAUUUGUUUUGAUUUGUGAGUCGUUAUGAAGAUGCUUACUACUCUUCUCUGUUUGCAGGAGGUGCUCUGCUGUUGGGGUGAAAAUGACUUUUGCUGAGGACGAGUUGGAUGGAAUCAUCAAAUACAAGAAGAAGAGGCAACAUUAUUAUGAGGCACAUUUUUACCAAGAAGUGCUCUUUGGAGAAUUUCUAAUCUCUGUAAACUAUAUGUGUACUGGGGCUUCAAAGACCUGUUUUCAGUUGGUUCAGUUUUGAGUCUGGGAUCCUUUAAGUUCAGUUUAAAUAAUCCUCACACUAAUCCUAAAACUUGGAAGUGCUUGUGAAAGAACAUGUAGAAUACAAGGUACAUUUUGUGCUGGCACAAGUUCACUACAACAUUCAUUGCAGGCAAACAUGGCAGUGUUACAUCUGUUUAUUACUGGACCAUGAAGUAGAUGAGCCCCAGAUACAUUAUUUGAGUGUGCUGUGGUAUUGAGUACAUUUUAAUAAAGGUACUCCAUUUUUUUAAAAAAGCGAUUUCAUGUUAAAUCAUUUUAGUAAAUUUGUAUUAUUUCUUAACCUCCCAACACUAGAAUGGCUGCCUGCCUCUUUUGAUCCAUACCAAGGUUGAAUUGUAAUUGUACAGGUAAUUCAGUUGAAAUUUUUAAUAUGCUCAAACACUGAAGUUUUGGGGUUUGGGAAAAUGACUGUAUGUUACAGGUGUGUUACAGAAAUGUGUGGUCUUUAAUUUUCUUGUCUGAAAUUAAUUUUUUCAUGGAAGCCUUCUGGCACUGUUUACCUGGAGAAAUCCCUGCUUUUCUCUGCAACCUUCAGGGCUAGAAAUGAGCUUCUUAUUUUCUCCUGUUUUUCUUCCCCACACUACCACAACUGGGUGUUACAAUAGUUGCCAGACUAUAAACAUCUGGUACUAAUGUAAGUGUAUUCUUGAUUCUAUGACUAUUUUUACGUAUGGUUUUUUUUAAAAAAACAACAACAACACAAUAAUUUAAAAAUCCUUGUCUUGAAAGUGAAGUUUACACCCUUGGUGGGUGGGGGGAGAAUCUACUCUUUAAAAAUUGAGAUUCUUUAAAAAUACAAAAGGUGACAAGCGUAUUUUUGGGAAAACAGCAGCAGUCACAUCAUAACUGGUUACCAGGUAAACCCUAGAUUAACCUCAACUUUGAUUUAACCUUACCUUGAAAUUAUUUACCAAAACAAUACGUCAAGGGAGCAGUCUUCCAAAGAGAGGGUUAACAUACAGCAGCCUUCUCCAGCCUGGAGCCCUCCAGAUUGAUUGAUUUUUUUUAUUUACUUAUUUAUUUACUGGACUACAACUCUAUAAUUAGUUUCAGCCAGCAUUGCCAGUAGUCAGGGGGUUAUUGGUGUUAUGGUACAAAACAUCUGGAAGGUGAAGGGUAAUGAGAGAAGGCAAAGCAGGAUUUAUUUUGUCAGGUAUAGGAGUGCUCAGCUCUGCAGCAUGCAAUACAGUGCUUCUGACUACACACACAAUGCAUUUCCUGGUGUAUAUAUCUAAAUCAGGAGUGUGCUUUGGUGUGGAAGGUAUGGUGACAGGAUCUGGAGCUUCAGCAUCUCAGUUUAGAAAUUGAGGAAAGAGUAUGCCCUUUGGUGGACAUUGUACCCAAGUUUGUGUCUGCUGCUGCAGUGUGACCUAUCCACAGAUGCCUACUUCAUCAGAUGUGUUAAGUGAAACAUUGGAAGGGUGCAAAGAAAGGUAACAGAUUAUGCAAGUGGUAAAAUUUGAGGUGAAUACAAAAGGCCCCCAGACCAACCUGUUGAUGGCACUGACAGCUCUUUAGUUGAAUAAAGGUAUAAGAAAAGUGAA